CCAAGCUUAAAAGUUAAACAGCUCAGGGGCUAAGAAUAAGAAUCUCCUGUUUGUACAAUCUGGUAGAUCAACUGAACUGGGUUUGGGACAAAGUUAUUCAGGGAGGAAGAGGUAGGAAUAAGAAUAUUCUAUAUAUUGAUGUCCUAACAGAAAACCAGUGACUUGCCCUGUUUUAAAUUCAUCCUGUCAUGAGUCCCAAGAAAGCAUUUUUCUAACUCCCAUGCUUCCAUUCUGUGGGAUUACCACAAAGAGCAUCAGGUAGGUCUUUUCUUUCCGUGUUCUUUUUAUGCCCUGUGUAUGUGGACAGAAGCAAUUUCCAUUGCACUCUUUGCUGUUUAUUCCAGGUUUACACUCAGUCCUGAGUUACCUUCUCUUUUCAAGUAAUUUCUCUAAGAGAGAAUAGAAAAAAAGCAGAACUAGGCAGAUUAUUCAUUCUCUUUCCACGCCCUUGACAAAGUCAAUUCUCCAGAAGGGUAAGCUUUAUCAUAUGUCACGAUAAAGGUUGCGAAGAUACCUCACCCAGAGUGUUUGCCUUGUUCUAAGGGAUAGUUGUAACUUUUUGAGAAUUCUGGAAAUUAAGCAGAAUGAAACUUUUUUUUUCUACAAAAAAAAUACUUGAAACGUUAGAGAUCUCCAGUCACUUAUGAAAUGCCUCCUUUAUACCAUUCACAAAGGUGAAUGACAAGACCCAAGUCCUAAAGAUAAGCAGUCUUGAUGCAGAAACAGAAAUGGAAAUAGAUACUUACAUAUCAAUAAGUGCUGUAAUAAAGCUUUUCAGUGGCUCUGGGAAGUCCAGGUGAAAGAGUAACUGUCCAGGGGCGACUCAAAAGGCCUUAUGGAGAAACAACAGAUGGUCAGUCGGGCUGAGUCUUAAAGGUAAAGUGUUCAGAGCAGAGCAGGUGAACACGAGGAAGACCAGAGACUCCGGCAGGUAAAGAUCUGAGGAGUCUCCCAGGCUCCCUGAUUCUGCGGAAGUAAAUGAGGGGGUGAAUGUUGGUACUUUCAUUAACUCUUGCUUUCAACAGAUAUUUAUUGGGUACUUAUUAGGUGCUGGGGGUUACAACGGUAAACAAGUUCUCCUGAAGAUCAUGGCCUGGCGGGAAGACAUUGAACAAAAUGCUGUAACUGUAUAACAGCACUGUGCAAAGUACCAUGACGGAAAACUCAGAAAUAUGAAAUAAUAUUUUGAUUAGAAAAAGUGCCCCCGCUGAGAAGACACCACAUCAUGGGCAUGUGGUUUGGCCGUCGGUCCGUGUGGGAUCAACAGAAGGCUCUUCUCACCCCAGGCAUCCUUGAGCCAAGGCCUGGCUUGGCGAAUCAGUCCCAACUCCUUGGGAGCCCCAUGCACAACCAUACAUGGCAGUCCGAUGUAAAUGACGUAAAGGAGCCAGAUGUGUGACCACCAGGGCAAAGAGCUUUCCAGAUAGAGAAAACAGCAAGUAGAAAGGCCCCAAGACGGGAGUCAAGCCUGGUGGGCCUGGGGAACGUAAAGGCCCCCGGAUUGAAGAACAGGUAUCAAGAAGACUGGCAGAAGGCUUCAGUUUCUUCUGUAAAAUGAAGCAGUUCAUUUAAUAGCUAAAAUUUAUCCAGCUUUAAUAUUCCACAACAACAGAAUAUCUACUUUCUACAGGGGAAUGAUGGAAAUAGAGCACAAAUGACACUGGAGUCUUCUUUGGAACAGAACUUUACUUCAAAACAUAGAUGCUACUUAAUGGGCCAUAACUUUCCUGUUGUUCAUGAGUCAGCAUGAAAAAUACCUCCAGAGAAGGCUAAGUAGGUCAGAUUUAUCUAAGAAGACAGCUGUGUAAUCCUGUAUCCCUCUCCAACCCCCUGGCACCGCAGAUACAGGUUUCUGGCUUUUUCAACAACAGUCUCAUAGCAUCACUCACUUUGUAAAGUCCUCAAGACCACACUUUGAAAAAUCAAGCUGGCCUUUAAAAGGCUUCAGUAUGAGGACAAAAUAGAGCCGUAGUUACAUAUGGUCCACAGCUAUUUUCUCUAUCUCUUAAGUCAUUUCCAUUGAUUCUGUGAUACUGGUUAGUGUGAGGGAAAAAAGUAAAGUUAUUUAAAAAGUAGUGAAAAAGUUUUGUACUUUGACUUUUUCUUGAAUCUGUUUAAUAAAUCCUGUCAGGGCCAUCA